rnacentral:rRNA from 1 species
UUGAUCCUGGCUCAGAAUCAACGCUGGCGGCGUGCCUAACACAUGCAAGUCGAACGCGAAAGCCCCGCAAGGGGUAAGUAGAGUGGCAAACGGGUGAGUUACACGUGGGUGACCUGCCUUCGAGUGGGGGAUAACGUCCCGAAAGGGACUCUAAUACCGCAUGACAUCCUGCUCUUGGACGAGCGGAGAUCAAAGCUGGUGAUCGCAAGACCUGGCGCUUGAAGAGGGGCCCGCGCCUGAUUAGCUAGUUGGUGAGGUAACGGCUCACCAAGGCAACGAUCAGUAUCCGGCCUGAGAGGUCGGACGGACACACUGGGACUGAGACACGGCCCAGACUCCUACGGGAGGCUGCAGUGGGGAAUUGUUCGCAAUGGGCGCAAGCCUGACGACGCAACGCCGUGUGGAGGAUGAAGAUCUUCGGGUCGUAAACUCCUGUCGAGCGGGAAGAAUGUUUCGCGGAUGAAUAAGCCGCGGAAGUGACGGUACCGCUAAAGGAAGCUCCGGCUAACUCCGUGCCAGCAGCCGCGGUAAUAAGGU